UACAGAGGGUGCGAGCGUUGUCCGGAAUCACUGGGCGUAAAGGGCGCGUAGGUGGCGACCCAAGUCCAUGGUGAAAGCUCGAUGCUCAACAUCGAGUCGGCCACGGAUACUGGGUUGCUCGAGCACUGUAGAGGCAGAUGGAAUUCCGGGUGUAGCGGUGGAAUGCGUAGAGAUCCGGAAGAGCACCGGUGGCGAAGGCGGUCUGCUGGGCAGUUGCUGACACUGAGGCGCGACAGCGUGGGGAGCAAACAGG
rnacentral:rRNA from 1 species